AACGAACGCUGGCGGCAGGCUUAACACAUGCAAGUCGAACGCCCCGCAGGGGGAGUGGCAGACGGGUGAGUAACGCGUGGGAAUCCACCUAGUUCUACGGAACAACAGAGGGAAACUUCUGCUAAUACCGUAUACGCCCUAUGGGGGAAAGAUUUAUCGGAAUUAGAUGAGCCCGCGUAAGAUUAGCUAGUUGGUGGGGUAAUGGCCUACCAAGGCGACGAUCUUUAGCUGGUCUGAGAGGAUGAUCAGCCACACUGGGACUGAGACACGGCCCAGACUCCUACGGGAGGCAGCAGUGGGGAAUAUUGGACAAUGGGCGCAAGCCUGAUCCAGCCAUGCCGCGUGAGUGAUGAAGGCCUUAGGGUUGUAAAGCUCUUUCACCGAUGAAGAUAAUGACGGUAGUCGGAGAAGAAGCCCCGGCUAACUUCGUGCCAGCCGCCGCGGUAAGAC
rnacentral:rRNA from 1 species